rnacentral:rRNA from 1 species
GAUGAACGCUGGCGGCGUGCCUAAUACAUGCAAGUCGAGCGAACAGACGAGGAGCUUGCUCCUCUGACGUUAGCGGCGGACGGGUGAGUAACACGUGGAUAACCUACCUAUAAGACUGGGAUAACUUCGGGAAACCGUAGCUAAUACCGGAUAAUAUUUUGAACCGCAUGGUUCAAUAGUGAAAGACGGUUUUGCUGUCACUUAUAGAUGGAUCCGCGCUGCAUUAGCUAGUUGGUAAGGUAACGGCUUACCAAGGCAACGAUGCAUAGCCGACCUGAGAGGGUGAUCGGCCACACUGGAACUGAGACACGGUCCAGACUCCUACGGGAGGCAGCAGUAGGGAAUCUUCCGCAAUGGGCGAAAGCCUGACGGAGCAACGCCGCGUGAGUGAUGAAGGUCUUCGGAUCGUAAAACUCUGUUAUUAGGGAAGAACAAAUGUGUAAGUAACUAUGCACAUCUUGACGGUACCUAAUCAGAAAGCCACGGCUAACUACGUG